CUACGGGUGGCUCCAGUGAGGAAUUUUGCGCAAUGGGGGGAACCCUGACGCAGCAACGCCGUGUGAGUGAAGAAGGCCUUUGGGUCGUAAAGCUCUGUCAACUGGGAAGAAGUUACUGUGCUUUAAUAGAGUGCAGUAUUGACGGUACCAGUGGAGGAAGCGUCGGCUAACUCCGUGCCAGCAGCCGCGGUAACACGGGGGACGCAAGCGUUAUUCGGAAUUAUUGGGCGUAAAGGGCGCGUAGGCGGUCUUGUCGGUCAGGUGUGAAAGCCCGGGGCUCAACCCCGGACGUGCACUUGAAACAGCAAGACUUGAGUACGGGAGAGGAAAGCGGAAUUCCUGGUGUAGAGGUGAAAUUCGUAGAUAUCAGGAGGAACACCGAUGGCGAAGGCAGCUUUCUGGACCGAAACUGACACUGAGGCGCGAAGGCGUGGGUAGCGAACGGGAUUAGAUACCCUAGUAGUC
rnacentral:rRNA from 1 species